rnacentral:ribozyme from 1 species
UCUUUCUCUUUCUCUUUCUCUCUCUUCAUCAGCUCCUGUUUUUAUUGACCCAUUAAUGACACAACUCGUUAAUUCUUCAGUAGAUG